GCCCGCUCAGAACUUAAAGGAAUUGACGGGGCCCGCACAAGCGGAGGAGCAUGUGGUUUAAUUCGAUGAUACGCGAGGAACCUUACCUGGGCUCGAACGUAAGAUGACUGUAGGUGAAAGCUUACAUCUCUUCGGAGCAUUUUACGAGGUGCUGCAUGGUUGUCGUCAGCUCGUGCCGUGAGGUGUCGGGUUAAGUCCCAUAACGAGCGCAACCCCUACCUUUAGUUGCCAUCAGGUAAUGCUGGGGACUCUAAAGGAACUGCCUACGCAAGUAGUGAGGAAGGCGGGGAUGACGUCAAAUCAGCACGGCCCUUACGUCCAGGGCUACACACGUGCUACAAUGGCCGAUACAGAGGGCAGCUACCUGGUGACAGGAUGCAAAUCUCCAAAGUCGGUCUCAGUUCGGAUCGGAGUCUGCAACCCGACUCCGUGAAGUUGGAUUCGCUAGUAAUCGCGCAUCAGCCAUGGCGCGGUGAAUACGUUCCCGGGCCUU
rnacentral:rRNA from 1 species